UGUGUGUGUGUGUGUGUGUUUUACCUCUCUGCGUGUAUCUCCAAGUUUGUGUGUGUGUAUCUGUAAGUGUUUUAAGUGUGUAUAUCAUUGUCGUGUGUGUGUGUAUAUGUGUGUGUGUGUGUGUGUGUGUGUGUGUGUGUGUGUGUGUGUGUGUGUGUGUGUGUGUCCUGCCCUUGUCCAGUAUUCAUCCCCCCUCCCUCCAAGUAGGCAAGCAGAUGGUAUUAGGGAAGCUUAGUUAAGGUAAGGCAAGGGAAGGGAAAGGAAGGAUAGGCAAGGUGAGGUAAGGCAAGGUAUAGGAUGCAAGACUAAGGUAAAGCAAGGCAACGUAAUGUUAGGCAAGGGAAUUUAAGGCAAAGUAAGGGAAGGGAACGUAAGGUAAGGUAGAGUAAGGCAAGAUAUUGUAAGGUAAGGCAACGUAAUGUUAGGUAAAGUAAGGGCAGGGAACAUAAGGCAAGGUUGGAUAAAGGAAGUAAAGGUUAGGCAAGGCAAAGGUAAGUAAGGCAAAGGUAAAGGUAGAUCAAGCAAAGGCAAGGCAAGGCAAGGCAAGGGUAGGUAAGGCAAAGGGAAAGUAAGCAGAGGUAGACAAAGGUAACGCAAGGCAGGGCAGGGCAAGGCAAGGUGGGGAGGCCUGGGCUUGUUAAAACUUAUACUGCCUUCCUUUAUGAUCCGCGGCGCACGUUUUAUUUGUUGUGUGGCGGCGGUGUGGGCGGCGGGGUGCUGCUGCCCUCCCCUGCCUCACCGCCGGCCGGGGGUGUGCGAGGCUGGGCGGAGGAGGAGGAAGAGAUUGCCCAGGGAAAAGUAGGAGAAAAAGAGUUGAAAAUGAUUGGCCAAGGAAAAGAUUGGCCAAGGAAAAGUAGGAGGAAAAGAGUUAAAAAUGAUUGGCCAAGGAAAAGUAGGAGGAAAAGAUUGGCCAAGGAAAAGUAGCGGAAAAAGAGUUGAAAAAGAUUGGCCAAAGAAAAGUAGGGGAAAAAGAUUGGCCAAGGAAAAGUAGGAGAAAAAGAGUUGAAAAAGAUUGGACAAGGAAAAGUAGGAGGAAAAGAUUGGCCAAGGAAAAGUAGGAGGAAAAGAUUGGCCAAGGAAAAGUAGGAGGAAAAGAUUGGCCAAGGAAAAGUAGGAGGAAAAGAUUGGCCAAGGAAAAGUAGGAGGAAAAGAUUGGCCAAGGAAAAGUAGGAGGAAAAGAUUGGCCAAGGAAAAGUAGGAGGAAAAGAUUGGCCAAGGAAAAGUAGGAGGAAAAGAUUGGCCAAGGAAAAGUAGGAGGAAAAGAUUGGCCAAGGAAAGUAGGCGGAAAAUACUACCGCCUUGGAGAGAUUCGAGAGACAAAGGUGUUAGAGAGGAGAGAGAUAUAUAGACCAACUAAACCACAUAGCAGAUUGUUAAGCAGAAAGUAGAAAAAGACAGAUUGACGUAAAAUAAAGAUAGUUAAAGAUUCAUACCGCCUUGGAGAGAUUCGAGAGACAAAGAUGUUAGAGAGAAGAGGAGAGAGAUAUAUAGACCAACUAAACCACAUAGCAGAUUGUUAAGCAGAAAGUAGAAGAAAAAAAGAUUGACCGUAAAUAAAGAUGGAAAUUGAUAGGUACCGCCAUUGAGAGAUAAGAGAGAGAAAAGCUGUUAGACAAAGAGGAGGGAGAAAUAUACAUAGACCAACUAAACCACAUAGCAGAUUGUUAAGGAGAAAGUAGAAGAAAAAAGGAUUGAACUUACAUAAAGAUGGAAACUGAUACAUGCCUUCAUUAAGAGAUUAGAUAUAGAAGCCAUUACAGAGAAGAGGGGAGGGAUAUAUAGACAAAAGAAGAUGCAACCAUUGAAAUAUUAUAGAGGCUGAAAAUAGGAAAUAAAAGAUGACUAGAAUAUAAGUAUAAGAAGAUAGAAGCAAUAGAUUAUAAGACAGACAUAAAUUGAAUGAAAAAAAAAGAUAUAGAUGGAGAUUAUACAACAAGAAAAAACCAUUGAAAUAUUAGAUGGUUUGAGUAAGGAAGGGGUAAUGGAAGGGAGCUUGUAUGAAGAGGUGAUGGGGAGCGAUGGGGAAGCAGGGGAGGGAGUAGUGGGGAGGGACUUUUAGAAAUUAAAGGAGGGGGGGGGUUGACGGAGGGGGGAUAGAAAGAAGGAAAAGAAGGAACUAAGAUUAAAGAAGAAAACAUAACUGGCUUUUGUGGUUUGUUUAAAGAUAAUAAGAAGAAAGUAGAUGAAUUAUUAAAGAGAAAAACUGCUCUUUGUGUGUGUGUGUGUGUGUGUGUGUGUGUGUGUGUGUGUGUGUGUGUGUGUGUGUGUGUUAAGUGAGUUUUGCGUUCCUGUAGAAAUCGCGUAACAUGAAUUCGCGUAAUUUGAACAUUCGCUCUCAUAAGAACAUUUCAGUAUUUCACUUCAAUCGCGUAAAUGUAAACAAGAAUCGCGUAAAAGGGAAUAAAGGAAGGAAUAAGGUGUAAUUUGAACCCCCUCUUCCUCCCCUCCCCUUUUCACCAUCCUUCCUUUCCCCUCCCUUUCCCCUCCCUUUCCCCUUCCUUUCCCGUUCCUUUCCUCUCCUUUCCCCUCCCUUUCCCAUUAAAAAAUUCUCGUCAAACUUAUUUCCGCGUUAAACAAGAGAUCACUUUCUUAAACGACAAAAAAAAAAAAAAAA